UAUCAAUUUUCUUUUUUAGAAUUAGAAAAUGCGAUUGGGAAUCAAUCCAUUUCUCUCUCUACAAAUCUCACGCACCGCUCCACAAGACCAAAACCGAAAAAUCUGAAGAAAAAUACGAGUUCAGAAGUAUGAGCUCGAAUGAGAAAGUGAAAAUGCCGACUGGUUGCUACAUCAGAGCUCUCUGGAUUCUGAAUAAUCAGGACUUUGUUGUUUUCUCCAGGAAGUUCCCGGUGGUGGAGAAGCGGUGGCGCACGGCUUGUGAGAAAGAAAGUGACCAUGAUUUUAAGUAUAAUUUGCUACCUUAUGAUUCCGAGUUGGCUGCCGCUUUCAUUGACCGCAAAAAAAGGGAGGGGUCUGCUCGUGGAUUCGGCUUGCGUUUAAGCCAGUCUGCUAAAGGAUUCGAUUCAUGGGUUGAUGAUCCAAUUACUCGUCAUGUAAUUAGUUUGUACAUCAAUAAAGAAGAGAAAGGAGAGAAUUAUAUCUUGUGGCCUUUACUGUUACACAUAAAGGGUCCGUAUUCUAUCCUUGUUUUGCCUUUGGUUGAACCUCAUCAUUUGAAAUCCUAUUCAAGGAUGUCUGAUAGAUCAGACUGUGGGAGUGCUAUAGGAGCAGAUGAGAAUUUGUCUUCCCUCCUCCUUGAUCUUCCAUCCAUCACAGGGGGAUUUAAUGUGGCACAUACAAUUGGAGACAUUAUAGUUGGAGAAGCAAUGGAACCUGAAGUAGUUGUGGCUGCAGCUCCCUCAGUCGGAGGGUUGCUGGAUUCUCUCACAGGUAGUAUUGGGAUUACAGGUAUCUCUGCAAGAGCGAAACCUGUAGCUGCUCCUCUGGCAGCAUCCACUGUUUCGGGGACGGCUGUGAGUGGAGCUGUAAUGUCAGAUACUCCAAAGAUGGGUUCCAGGCCCUUGGACAAGGAUGCACUUCGGUCUUUCAUCAGCAGCUCGAUGCCCUUUGGCACUCCACUGGAUAUGAACUUCUUAAAUAUUACUGCCAUCAAGACUACUGGAUUUUCUUCAGCAGAUGUGCCUCCUGCAGAGCGCAAGCAACCAGCUUGGAAACCUUAUCUUUACAGGGGGAAGCAACGGAUUCUAUUCACAAUCUAUGACACAGUCCAUGCUGCAAUGUAUGAUAGGGAUGAGAUCCCUGAUAGCAUAACAAUUUCUGGUCAGGUUAACUGUAGAGCAGAAUUAGAAGGAUUGCCUGAUGUUUCGUUCCCAUUGACUGGGUUGGACACUGCCCGCAUUGAGUCAUUAUCCUUUCACCCCUGUGCUCAAGUUCCAGAGCAUGGCGGUGAUAAGCAGGCUGUUACCUUUUCACCACCAUCAGGGAAUUUUAUAUUAAUGCGUUAUCAGGCACGUUGUGCUGUUGGACCUCCAAUAAAGGGGUUUUACCAGCUUUCAAUGGUCUCCGAAAAUGAAGGUGCAUUUUUGUUUAAGUUGAGCAUCAUGGAAGGUUAUAAAGCUCCUGUAACAGUAGAGUUCUGUACGGUAACCAUGCCUUUUCCAAGGAGAAGGGUGGUUUCUUUUGAUGGGACACCUUCCAUUGGAACAGUUUCAUAUACUGACCACUCAGUAGAGUGGAAGAUAAUAACAAACACUCGAAGUGUUUCGGGGAAGAGCAUUGAGGCAACUUUUCCUGGGACAGUCAGAUUUGCUCCAUGGCAAGCUCAAAAAAUGCCUUCAUCUGGUUUGGCACUUGGAAGUAUGACCGAUGAAGACAGUGAUCUUGAAACGGAAUCUGGUGGCAGCAUGGUUAAUGUUGAGGAUUACAUUAUGGAGAAAAUGAGUAAGGAUCUUCAAGCAGUUGAUCUAGAGGAGCCCUUUUGCUGGCAAGCGUACAAUUAUGCAAAAGUUUCUUUCAAGAUGGUAGGACCUUCAAUGUCAGGAAUGUCUAUUGAUCCUAAAUCUGUAAGCAUAUUCCCAGCAGUUAAGGCACCCGUGGAAAUUUCAACUCAGGUUACUUCUGGCGAUUAUAUUUUGUGGAAUACAUUGGGAAAAUGUCCUGUUGCAGCCACACCAGAGGUAUAGAAGAUCAACGGGAAAUGCUUAUAACAAACUUUAAUCCAAUGUUGCAUCAGGUGGUCUGUGUCUAUGGUGUCAAAUGGGCGGGUUGGAUUUGGAACAAGUGCAAAAUGAGUUGGGUUGCAAAUGGGCAGGCUGUAUUAUUCACAUUCGGUGAUUUAUUCGAUGGAGAUGACCUAGAAAGUAAUGGCACGAAGGGGUGCUUGGGACUGCAGGGCGAUGGAAAGAGAAGCACCCAGUGCAUGCAACUUACCAGCAGUCCUUGCUUCGCUCUUGUACCAUAUAUGGCAAGAAAGGAACAUGAGAUGAUUUCCUCAAAUUAGUAGUAGCUUCACUUGUUGAGCAGAUUGGGCAGGAAUUACUUGUAUUAAGAUCCUACAUCCCUUGUUGUAAUUUAUGUGUUUAGGAUUCGGCGAAUAACUUGGUAGGAUUGGUUUGGAGCCUCAAGAUGUACAUUGUACAGGGUUUUAAUAAAAUUUAAUUGAAUUUUCAA